UCUACACCAGAUUCCAACAGUUCUUUCUCUGGAGGUGGAUCGCAUCCCUUGUCACAAAUCCUUCAGAAUUGUUUCAGAUCAUUUUAUUGUUGAGAGCAGCUAAAUCUUUCACAGUUGAUAACUGUACAAUAUUGCUGUUACUUUGUAUUAUAUUCUCCUGGUUCUGCAUGUUUUGCUCUGCAUCACUUCAUAUUGAUCUUUCUAGCUUUUUUUGAUAUCAUCUCACUCAUCAUUUCUUUUAGCUAAAUUGUAUUCUAUCUCCAUCAUAUACCACAAUUUGUUUAGCUAUUCCCCCAUUGAUGGAUAUCUCCUCAAUUUCCAAUUCUUGGCCACCACAACAAAGAGUAGCUAUAAAAAACAUUUUUGUACAAGUUAAUCCUUUCCCGUUUUUAAAUGAUCUUUUUCAUAUAUAGGUCCAGUAUUAAAGGAUCAAAAGGUAUGCAUUUCAAGACCAGGGCAGCAGUCUCUUGAAGCCAAAGUAUUUUCCUGGAUAGGUGUGGUGACUUAGGCGAAAGAUGAGAAGUGGAAGACAACUUGGAUGUUUCAGACCUGUUGUCCAGGCAUGGCAAGAAGCUGUUCCUCAAGUCAGAGGGUUUGUUUUUAUUUAUACCGCAGUGGUUACAUAUUUCUCUGGCACAGUCAUUUUUCAACAUACAUGAUUUCUUACAGGAAUAAUAAACUGGAAGAAUUCCAUGGGAACUGGAAUGACCUCCAGGAAUUGAUGCAGAAUGGAAGGAGCAGAACCAAGAGAACAAUGUACACAGAGACUGAUACAGUGUGGUAUAAUUGAAUGUAAUAGCCUUCUCUACUAGUAGCAAUGCAAUGAUCCAGGACAAUCCAGAGGGAUUUACGAGAAAGAAUGUCAUCCACAUCCAGAGGAAGAACUGUGGGAGUAGACACAUAGAAUAGAGACAACUGCUUGAUCACAUGGUUCGAUGGGGAUGAUCGGGAAUGUAGACUCUAAAUGAUCGUGCAAAUAUUAAUAAUAUGGAAAUAGGUCUUGAUCAACGACACAUGUUAAACCCAGUGGAAUUAUGUGUCAUAUAUGGGAGUGGGGUAGGGGAAGGGGAGGGAAAGAACAUGAGUCUUGUAACCAUG
rnacentral:lncRNA from 1 species